rnacentral:lncRNA from 12 species
UAAGACCAAGCCCAUUGUUUUAUUCAGAUUAUUUGUACAUUACAGCAAGUUUGGGGGUGGAACGAAGGAGCCACAAGGAAGCCACAAAUGCAUGGGGGAAAGGGUACUGCUACCGUGGGCCGGGCCGGCAGAAUACCUAAAGAGGUGGCCUGGCAGGGACACGGCUCGGAACCGAGAAAGCUGCUCCGGGCCCGGGAGGAUGUGCACACCCCCGCGCACACUCACAGGCACGAGGCUGGGGACGCCACCCGCCAGGACGACCGCCAGGGGGUGCCCCCGGCACGCGGCAGUCUCCAGUGUCCUUCGCCACCUGAACGCAGGUGGUUUGACUCAGCGCUGCUGGUGUGUGGCUCGUUUUCUCCAGUUGCGGAUCUUUAGACACAACGCGCCGAGCACGGCGGGGACAGGGGCUCGUGAGGAGGAUCCGCAGGGCCGCGGGGGGCUGUCAGGCCCAGGCCCCCCUCCUCCACGCAGCUUCUGCCGGGGGCAAGCGGUGGGCACGGUGCCACGCAUCCCCUUGGCGGCCCGGCAGAGCGCAGCCUGCGACAGGACCUCAGGAGCCCACCCAAGGAGCUGGGUCCCGGCGAGAAGGGUGGCCCAGCUGCCUCUGCGUGCCUGGCGGUGUCCCCUCCGGUGCCCCCACAGGCCCAGCUGCGGGUCCGCGGACCGCGAGGCUACUGGGAUGACCUGAGCGUCGCCGCAGGGCUGGGCGCUGCUCCCAGCAGCAGGGGCUCCUCAGUCCCGGGCUGAGCCGGUGCGGCCCUGCGGUGCCGAGGGCCCAACGCCCCGCUGCGCGCCCUACAGUCCGCUCACGCUCGCCUCACAUCAGCAGAUUAAACCGAAGUAGAGCCGACUUGAACCACAAAGAAUGUUCUUCAUUAAGCACAGAAGAGACGGUGAGGCCCGUUGGCCACCGCCGAGGGAGGCUGUUGCAAAACCACUGCAAUUCACCCGGCAGCUUUUUUUUUUUUUUUUUUUUAAUCUACUUAUUCCUGAGGCCCACGGAGAGAGGAGGAGACCCAGGCGGAGGGAGGAGCAGGCUCCCUGCGGGGACCCUGAUGCGGGACUCGAUCCGGGACCCUGGGUCACACCCUGAGCCGGAAGCAGACGCUCCACCGCUGAGCCCCCGGGUGCCCUCACUGUAAAAAAAUAAAAAAAAAAAUUCUAAUUAUCCA